CACCUCUGAGCAAAGGUAGGAGGUGUCAGCAACCACACAGGACACUACAGAAAAGAGUUGUCUCCAGCGCGAGCUUCUGCCCUUCCCAAGAGGGAAGCUGACUCCGGCACCUUGGGACAUGGACGUCUCAGGUAGGAAGUGUCCAGAGCCUCCACGGUCCACAGCAGGCAACUGGCAGCCUCUUCUGCCUG
rnacentral:lncRNA from 14 species